AUAGUUUUUCAAACAGUUUGCUCAUGCAGGAGGGUUUGCACAGCAGUGACCAUCCUGAAAUCAGAAGCAAUGUGGUUUAAGGUCCUUCAAAUCCAGAUCAUGGAUAAUGUUUUUCUCCUUUCUCCCAUUUCCCCAGGCUGUGCAGUUUAUACGGCUCGGGAUUUCUAGUUAUCGAGGAUCCAGUCCUAUGUGGAUGAGGUCGUUAACUGAGCCCCUGGAAUUAUUCUUGCUUCAGGAUGAAAGGAACUGGACUUCUCAAGUAGAAGCACAGGAAAGAAGUGACUGGAGACACGCCUGAAUACACUUGGGACUCAGCCUUCAUAUCUGUCCAUGUCAAGAUAUGUCCAUGACGGGAAUGAUCUCCCUAGAUGUCACACUUUUGUGCAGUGUACAACCACAGCAUCCUUCCAUGGUGGGCCUGAAAAUGGUCCUCAUGAAUCUCUCAGCUAUGAUUCAUGAUAGACAUUUUAUGGAAGAAAUGCCUUAAGAUGAAUGUAGAACCAGGGAAAGGCAUGAGAAAUUCUUUUUUUCAUGCUGCUGCUGUGCUAUUAUCAUCUAUAAGGUUAUUUUCUUUCUUCUCCACUAGAGAAUGAUAUACUCUUGUUUCCACUUACUCUAUUUUAUCUCCCUAGACCGAGGGCCUGGAGCUGUGCCAGCUCAUAAAUCCACUGAAUGAAAGAAAUUCAUGAAUCAUGAUAGAAAAAAUCAGGUUAAAAUAGUUACUUUGAAUGAAUACCAGGUGCUCUUUCUGACAAAAGUAUAUUUCCAUAGCUCCUACUCCACCUCUGUCCUAACCAGCAAAACACUAAAGCCUUGGUCGGUCUUUCAAGAGAACCUUAAGAAGCUAGGAAUCACAGAGUUGUCUCUGUAAGAGGAAAUGCCCUCUUCUUAAGUGACCACUUUAGAGGAUCCUUAAGUGGUUUCCAGUAAUAGAAGACAACGUUCACAGUUAAAUACAAGUCUCCAAAAUUGAUGGGUUGCUUCCGGGUAUAUUUGUUCGCCUGGAAGCAGUUUCACCAUAGUGGUUUGCAUUUCUAAUUGUUUAAUGGGGACUGUGUCCUUUAGAUCCAAAUGAAAAACUAGAAAAUAUCCAGGUCAUGUUGUUGGGCUUAGUGAAUGCAUAAUUAGGAUGUAAAUCAGCAUUUUAGAGCUGAUGACAGGUUUUUCUAGACAGGCAUGAUUAGAAGGCAUGAGGAAUUUGGAAUGCUUCCUUUUUGGCAAUACGAUUAUUUUUCUUUGGUUUGCCCUGCUCCCUGCCUACAUCCAAAUGUACAACUUCAUAUAGUCAAUAAAUAAAUAUUAUUUAUCUUACCUGCUUUCUGA
rnacentral:lncRNA from 1 species